CACAUAUACAUCUUUUUUAUAGCUCCUAAAAUGAGGCAAAUAAGCUGUGCAUCAUCUCUGUGAUUUGGGAAGGAAAUGACUGAAUAUGAUGGAGCCAGUUGAUGAAGAUAUCAAUUGAAUGGCCACCGAGUGCAUCACUGCUACCUGAACCCAUCAGUUAUCUGCUGUGAAGACUGCAUUUACAAACCGCUCUACUGCGACAGCUCAGAUGUUACGGCCUGUAAAAGUAAACAUCACAGCUAAACAACGAGAGCUAGUUGUGGUGGGAUUCUUUUGGCCAAUAUCCCCAACAAGAAUCAAUGACAUCUAGACCAGGUGGAGUGUGAGGAGGACCGUCAGAGACUCCAGCCAGCCGAGCCAUGGAUUGCUCUCACUGUUACCAUCAGGCAGACGUUAUCACAGAACCUACACCAGCAGACAGUGAGACAAGUUCCUUUCACAGGCAAUCAGACUGAACUGAACUCAUACCAGUAAAACCAUACACACCCCACCAACCUCAUAUGCCCUGCACUCUUAUCAGUUAUGCUGACUGGACUCAAUAUUAUUAUGCACCCUGACAUUCUGUUUGCACUAAUUCAUACCGUGCUUUACUGCAGAGAUGUAUGUGUACUGUGAUUAUUAUUGUUUUCAAUUCAUGCUCUUUGUAUAGCAUAAUUUUUAACAUAUAUUGUUAUCUACCUGAAUUGAGUCCCUUAUAUAUGUGUGUUGCAUA